rnacentral:rRNA from 1 species
GACCUCGAUCAGCUAGACCCCG